AUUGAACGCUGGCGGCAGGCCUAACACAUGCAAGUCGAGCGAGCGGCGGACGGGUGAGUAAUGGAUGGGGAUCUGACCGAUAGAGGGGGAUAACUACUGGAAACGGUAGCUAAUACCGCAUACUAUGGGAUGAACCCAUAGGGGAUUAGAUAGUAGGUGGGGUAAAGGCUCACCUAGGCGACCAUCUCUAGCUGGUCUGAGAGGAUGAUCCGCCACACUGGGACUGAGACACGGCCCAGACUCCUACGGGAGGCAGCAGUGGGGAAUAUUGCGCAAGGGGCGCAAGCCUGAUGCAGCCAUGCCGCGUGAAUGAAGAAGGCCUUCGGGUUGUAAAGUUCUGUCAGUAGUGAGGCGUUACCUGCAGAAGAAGCACCGGCUAACUCCGUGCCAGCAGCCGCGGUAAUUC
rnacentral:rRNA from 1 species